rnacentral:lncRNA from 8 species
AUCUCUUCUCUAUCUCUAUCUUUUCUCUAUCUCUUCUCUAUCUCUUUUAUAUCUCUACCUCUAUCUCUUCUAUAUCACUAUCUCUUCUCUAUCUUUAUAUCUUCUCUAUCUAUCUAUACUCUAUCUCUUCUCUAUCUAUCUCUUCUAUAUCUCUUCUCUAUCACUCUCUUCUCUAUAUCUAUCUCUUCACUAUCUCUUCUAUAUCUCUCUCUUCUCUAUCUAUAUCGCUAUCUCUAUCUCUUCUCUAUCUCGUCUAUAUCUCUACCUCUACCUUAAUUUUUUCUAUCUCUACCUCUACCUCUAUCUCUAUAUUUCUAUCUCUAUUUCUAUCUCUUUUCUAUCUCCAUCUCUUCUAUAUCUCUAUCUCUAUCUCUUCUCUAUUUCUGUCUCUUCUCUAACUCUUCUCUAUUUCUGUCUCUUCUCAAUCUCUAUCUCUAUAUUUUCUCAAUCUCUACCUCUAUCUUCUCAAUCUCUACCUCUAUCUCUUCUCUAUCGCUAUCUCUAUAUCUUCUCAAUCUCUACCUCUAUCUCUAUAUCUUCUCAAUCUCUACCUCUAUCUCUAUAUCUCUCAAUCUCUACCGCUACCUCUAUUUCUAUCUCUAUAUCUUACUCUAUCUCUAUAUCUUCUCUAUCUCUUCGAUAUCUCUUCUCUAUCUAUAUCACUUCUCUAUAUCUAUCUCUUCUCUAUCUCAAUCUCUGUCUUUAUCUAUAUCUCUUCUCUGUCUCUAUCUCUAUCUUUAUCUCUAUAUUUAUCUAUAUCUCUAUCUUCUCUAUCUCUAUAUGUAUCUCUAUCUCUAUAUCUUCUCUAUCUCUAUCUCUUCUCUAUCUCUAUCUCUUCUAUAUCGCUAUCUCUUCUAUAUCUCUAUCGCUAUCUCUUUUAUAUCUCUAUAUCUUCUCUAUCUCUAUCUCUUCUAUAUCUCUAUCUCUUCUAUAUCUCUAUUUAUAUCUCUAUCUCUUCUAUAUCUCUAUCUCUAUCUCUAUCUCUAUCUCUAUCUCUGUCUCUUCUAUACCUCUAUCUCUAUCUCCCCUCUGAGAUCUUGGGCCUUCAGAACCAGUUGUCUCGGCAUGGUUGUCUGAAGACCAUCCAGGACCAUGAGGACUUCUGUUUCACGGUUAACCACCACAACCACAACCGUGGUCCAGUCCAGCUGCAGAGAACACUACAGGAGAUCAGGAAGAGGAUGAUUGGCAGCCGCUCCACAUCUGAUGUGAUGUCAGCGGGAUGGGGUUGGAGCCAGCAGGAGAUGUUAGUACAGCCCCCUAGAAUUCACGUCACCACCGCGGAGAGAAGACACCUGGACCGGAUUGUCCCUUCAGAGACAGGGAAAAGGCUUAUGCCGGGAGAGAGACUUCCAGAAAGAGGGACUGGCGAGAGACUUCCAGAAAGAGGGCCUGGGGAGAGACUUCCAGAAAGAGGGCCAGGGGAGAGACUUCCAGAAAGAGGGCCAGGGGAGAGACUUCCAGAAAGAGGGGCUGGGGAGAGACUUCCAAAAAAAGGGACUGGCGAGAGACUUCCAGAAAGAGGGUCUGGGGAGAGGCUUCCAGAAAGAGGGUCUGGGGAGAGACUUCCAGAAAGAGGGGCUGCGGAGAACUCUGCAGCCUUCCUCCUCUCACAGCAGCAGGAACAGGACUAUACUGAGCAAAUGUUUCCCAAGGUACGUGUCAAACCACACACACUUAAUGGGGCGCUGAGAGGCAAACACACCUGCAGGAGGGAUAAUGUCAUCCCCUACCCUAACCCCCUCCCUCCCUCCCACACACACACACACACACACACACACACACACACACACACACACACAUACACACACAUACACACACAUACACACACAUACACACACUAUCCUAUUUCUGGGACUUUGUUGGAGGGCCGUGCUUCCCCCUCAUCCCAAUGAUUAAUUCUGUCCCAAGAGCAAAAAAAGAUAAAUGGUUUUCUGUAAGUAUUCAGUAGAGAGUAGAGAAUAAUAGACAGUAGAGAAGAGGUAGAAUAAAUAAUGAAGAGAGAGAGAGAGACAGAAAGAGAGAGACAGAAAGAGAGAGAGAGACAGAAAGAGAGAGAGAGAAAGAGAGAGAGAGAGAGAGAGAGAGAGAGAGAGAGAGAGAGAAAAAGAGAGAGAAAAAGAGAGAGAGAGAGAGAGAGAGAGAGAGAGAGAUUGACAGAAGAGCUAGAAUGAUUGUUUUUUCCCACUUGAUACAGUAUGUGUCCUGUGCCAAUAAAGUCCCUUUGAAUUGGAUUGAAACAUAGAAUAGCUUGAAGAGCUAGAAGGAUGAAAAAGUGAGGCUAUGUUGAGGUACUGAGAUGGACAUAUAUGGACAGAGGACGAAGAACCCAUGUUUCCCACACCUCUGCGUCAAAAUGGAACUGGGCAAACAGUCCUGGCUGGAGAGACCAGAGGGAACUGGGCAAACAGUCCUGGCUGGAGAGACCAGAGGGAACUGGGCAAACAGUCCUGGCUGGAGAGACCAGAGGGAACUGGGCAAACAGUCCUGGCUGGAGAGACCA